rnacentral:rRNA from 1 species
UGGGGAAUCUUGGACAAUGGGCGCAAGCCUGAUCCAGCCAUGCCGCGUGAGUGAAGAAGGCCUUCGGGUUGUAAAGCUCUUUUGUCAGGGACGAUAAUGACGGUACCUGAAGAAUAAGCCCCGGCAAACUUCGUGCCAGCAGCCGCGGUAAUACGAAGGGGGCUAGCGUUGUUCGGAAUUACUGGGCGUAAAGCGCACGUAGGCUGAUUGUUAAGUCAGGGGUGAAAUCCCAGAGCUCAACUCUGGAACUGCCCUUGAUACUGGCAAUCUCGAGUCCGGAAGAGGUUAGUGGAAUUCCCAGUGUAGAGGUGAAAUUCGUAGAUAUUGGGAAGAACACCAGUGGCGAAGGCGGCUAACUGGUCCGGUACUGACGCUGAGGUGCGAAAGCGUGGGGAGCAAACAGGAUUAGAUACCCAGUAGUCCCUGAGCGGGCUGGCAAGGCGCAU